AGCAACAAAUGCCCUGCUUCCAGGAAAAGCCUCUAAGCAUCAGGUAACACGAAAUCGUACCCCAAACCGACACAGGUGGUCAGGUAGAGAAUACCAAGGCGCUUGAGAGAACUCGGGUGAAGGAACUAGGCAAAAUGGUGCCGUAACUUCGGGAGAAGGCACGCUGACACGUAGGUGAAGUGAUUUACUCAUGGAGCUGAAGUCAGUCGAAGAUACCAGCUGGCUGCAACUGUUUAUUAAAAACACAGCACUGUGCAAACACGAAAGUGGACGUAUACGGUGUGACGCCUGCCCGGUGCCGGAAGGUUAAUUGAUGGGGUCAGCGCAAGCGAAGCUCCUGAUCGAAGCCCCGGUAAACGGCGGCCGUAACUAUAACGGUCCUAAGGUAGCGAAAUUCCUUGUCGGGUAAGUUCCGACCUGCACGAAUGGCGUAAUGAUGGCCAGGCUGUCUCCACCCGAGACUCAGUGAAAUUGAACUCGCUGUGAAGAUGCAGUGUACCCGCGGCAAGACGGAAAGACCCCGUGAACCUUUACUAUAGCUUGACACUGAACAUUGAGCCUUGAUGUGUAGGAUAGGUGGGAGGCUUUGAAGUGUGGACGCCAGUCUGCAUGGAGCCAACCUUGAAAUACCACCCUUUAAUGUUUGAUGUUCUAACGUGGACCCGUUACCCGGGUUGCGGACAGUGUCUGGUGGGUAGUUUGACUGGGGCGGUCUCCUCCUAAAGAGUAACGGAGGAGCACGAAGGUUGGCUAAUCCUGGUCGGACAUCAGGAGGUUAGUGCAAUGGCAUAAGCCAGCUUGACUGCGAGCGUGACGGCGCGAGCAGGUGCGAAAGCAGGUCAUAGUGAUCCGGUGGUUCUGAAUGGAAGGGCCAUCGCUCAACGGAUAAAAGGUACUCCGGGGAUAACAGGCUGAUACCGCCCAAGAGUUCAUAUCGACGGCGGUGUUUGGCACCUCGAUGUCGGCUCAUCACAUCCUGGGGCUGAAGUAGGUCCCAAGGGUAUGGCUGUUCGCCAUUUAAAGUGGUACGCGAGCUGGGUUUAGAACGUCGUGAGACAGUUCGGUCCCUAUCUGCCGUGGGCGCUGGAGAACUGAGGGGGGCUGCUCCUAGUACGAGAGGACCGGAGUGGACGCAUCACUGGUGUUCGGGUUGUCAUGCCAAUGGCACUGCCCGGUAGCUAAAUGCGGAAGAGAUAAGUGCUGAAAGCAUCUAAGCACGAAACUUGCCCCGAGAUGAGUUCUCCCUGAGACUUAAAGUCUCCUGAAGGAACGUUGAAGACGACGACGUUGAUAGGCCGGGUGUGUAAGCGCAGCGAUGCGUUGAGCUAA
rnacentral:rRNA from 1 species